UGGUCGGGGUUGAGUUAAUCAUUGACUGUGGCUGUCCCGGGGCUGCGUCCCCUGCGCGAGCCUUCGGGUGGGCGGCGGGUGUCCUGCCGCCCCGGGACCGCGCCGGGAGAUGGGCCGCAGGCUGGCCGGAUGGCCGAGCCCCCAGGUCGGGUCCACAGCGUCGCUGCCUCCCUGGGCCAGCAGUGUUUCCGCCAUUCGCUGUAGCCAGUCCGCAGGAGGACGAGACGCACAGAGAGACUCAGGCCUGGCAGUUACUCCUGACCUCCUGCGGGAGGUCAGGGAGGCCAAGGAGGUGUGCGACCUUCCGGUUAAAGUGUGACUUGACAACAGGGGCAAGUGAGGCAUCAAGUUCAUGGAUGAGAUCAGUGUCAACGGGGACAAACCCCACGGGUGACCACGGACGUGUGUACCUUUCUGAAACACUGCCCCUGCUGAGGACUUGGCCUGAGAGCGCAAGAAGAGGAGAUGCUUCCUGCGGGUGCCCAGUGAAGGCUGAUGACUUGCUCCCGCUGGCCGCAUCCAAAUGCGGCCACUGGCAAAGGAUCUGGAGGACCACGGAGCUCAGCCUCCCAGGGAGAGAGGAGGGCAGAAAUGGAUGCGGCUGGGGAAGCAAAGAAGUGGAAAGGGCGGUGUGAGCG